UGGUUGGACACCAAGCCUGUGUGAAACUCCUUCGACGAGUCGAGUAGUUUGGGAAUGCUGCUCUAAAUGGGAGGUAAAUCUCUUCUAAAGCUAAAUACCGGCCAGAGACCGAUAGCGCACAAGUAGAGUGAUCGAAAGAUGAAAAGCACCUUGAAAAGGGGGUUAAAUAGUACGUGAAAUUGUUGAAAGGGAAGCACUUAUGACCAGACUUGGGCCGGGCGGUUCAUCAGGGGUUCUCCCCUGUGCACUCCGUCCGGCACAGGCCAGCAUCGGUUUUCGUGGGGGGAUAAGACCGUCGGGAACGUAGCACCCUCCGGGGUGUGUUAUAGCUCGGCGGACGAUACUCUCGCGGGGACCGAGGUUCGCGGAUGCUG
rnacentral:rRNA from 1 species